AGUGAACGCUGGCGGUAGGCCUAACACAUGCAAGUCGAACGGCAGCACAGUAAGAGCUUGCUCUUACGGGUGGCGAGUGGCGGACGGGUGAGGAAUACAUCGGAAUCUACUUUUUCGUGGGGGAUAACGUAGGGAAACUUACGCUAAUACCGCAUACGACCUACGGGUGAAAGCAGGGGAUCUUCGGACCUUGCGCGAUUGAAUGAGCCGAUGUCGGAUUAGCUAGUUGGCGGGGUAAAGGCCCACCAAGGCGACGAUCCGUAGCUGGUCUGAGAGGAUGAUCAGCCACACUGGAACUGAGACACGGUCCAGACUCCUACGGGAGGCAACAGUGGGGAAUAUUGGACAAUGGGCGCAAGCCUGAUCCAGCCAUACCGCGUGGGUGAAGAAGGCCUUCGGGUUGUAAAGCCCUUUUGUUGGGAAAGAAAAGCAGCAGGUUAAUACCCCGCUGUUCUGACGGUACCCAAAGAAUAAGCACCGGCUAACUUCGU
rnacentral:rRNA from 1 species